rnacentral:rRNA from 1 species
UACGUAGGGUCCGAGCGUUGUCCGGAAUUACUGGGCGUAAAGAGCUCGUAGGUGGUUUGUCGCGUUGUUCGUGAAAACUCACAGCUUAACUGUGGGCGUGCGGGCGAUACGGGCAGACUUGAGUACUGCAGGGGAGACUGGAAUUCCUGGUGUAGCGGUGGAAUGCGCAGAUAUCAGGAGGAACACCGGUGGCGAAGGCGGGUCUCUGGGCAGUAACUGACGCUGAGGAGCGAAAGCGUGGGGAGCGAACGGG